CACGUAGGGUGCGAGCGUUGUCCGGAAUUAUUGGGCGUAAAGAGCUCGUAGGCGGUGUGUCGCGUCGGCCGUGAAAACCUGCAGCUUAACUGUGGGCGUGCGGUCGAUACGGGCAUCACUGGAGUUCGGCAGGGGAGACUGGAAUUCCUGGUGUAGCGGUGAAAUGCGCAGAUGUCAGGAGGAACACCGGUGGCGAAGGCGGGUCUCUGGGCCGAUACUGACGCUGAGGAGCGAAAGCGUGGGGAGCGAACAGG
rnacentral:rRNA from 1 species